rnacentral:piRNA from 1 species
AUAAGUAAAGGCAGAAAGGAUAAUG